CUGUUGUUAAAGAAGAACAUAUCUGAGAGUAACUGUUCAGGUAUUGACGGUAUUUAACCAGAAAGCCACGGCUAACUACGUGCCAGCAGCCGCGGUAAUACGUAGGUGGCAAGCGUUGUCCGGAUUUAUUGGGCGUAAAGCGAGCGCCGGCGGUUUUUUAAGUCUGAUGUGAAAGCCUUCGGCUCAACCGAAGAAGUGCAUCGGAAACUGGGAAACUUGAGUGCAGAAGAGGACAGUGGAACUCCAUGUGUAGCGGUGAAAUGCGUAGAUAUAUGGAAGAACACCAGUGGCGAAGGCGGCUGUCUGGUCUGUAACUGACGCUGAGGCUCGAAAGUAUGGGUAGCAAACAGGAUUAGAUACCCUGGUAGUCCAUACCGUAAACGAUGAAUGCUAAGUGUUGGAGGGUUUCCGCCCUUCAGUGCUGCAGCUAACGCAUUAAGCAUUCCGCCUGGGGAGUACGGCCGCAAGGCUGAAACUCAAAGGAAUUGACGGGGGCCCGCACAAGCGGUGGAGCAUGUGGUUUAAUUCGAAGCUACGCGAAGAACCUUACCAGGUCUUGACAUACUAUGCAAAUCUAAGAGAUUAGACGUUCCCUUCGGGGACAUGGAUACAGGUGGUGCAUGGUUGUCGUCAGCUCGUGUCGUGAGAUGUUGGGUUAAGUCCCGCAACGAGCGCAACCCUUAUUAUCAGUUGCCAGCAUUAAGUUGGGCACUCUGGUGAGACUGCCGGUGACAAACCGGAGGAAGGUGGGGAUGACGUCAAAUCAUCAUGCCCCUUAUGACCUGGGCUACACACGUGCUACAAUGGAUGGUACAACGAGUUGCGAACUCGCGAGAGUAAGCUAAUCUCUUAAAGCCAUUCUCAGUUCGGAUUGUAGGCUGCAACUCGCCUACAUGAAGUCGGAAUCGCUAGUAAUCGCGGAUCAGCAUGCCGCGGUGAAUACGUUCCCGGGCCUUGUACACACCGCCCGUCACACCAUGAGAGUUUGUAACACCCAAAGUCGGUGGGGUAACCUUUAGGAACCAGCCGCCUAAGUGGACAGAGAUGGGU
rnacentral:rRNA from 1 species